CCCGAAAGGUCGAAAGAUGAGAUUCAUUUACUUUUUAUCGUAUAUUAACCAACUUGUAUUUGUUUAGUGACAAAAUUUAUUAUUAUUAUAUAUUUUAAUUUUUUUUAUAAUAUACUUUUAAUUUAUAAAAUUAUUGCACUACUAUAUGUUGUGUAUAAUAACGAGGUAUGCACUUCUCAUCUUGUAGGACGUUGCGACCCGUUAAAUAUUGAUUUAUGAAAUAUUUUUGUGCAUUGUAUAUUAUAUUAUGAUUUAUUUUAUUUAUGUGAUAUAUGCCUAUAUUAUCUAAUCAAUUGUUUGACGGUAUUAAUAUAAAAAUAAAAGAUUAAGUGUGUAUUUUUUUUUUUAACGAUUAAAAACACACGUUCAUUACUCGAAACGAGUAAAUAUGGGUUUUAUUAUUUUUUUUAUAAUUUAUUUUAAAACAAAUGAUUAUAUAUGGUUUUUAUACCAAUUAAUCAUACUGUAUUACUGUCAGUUUUGGGUAUUUUUUUGAACAGUAAUCUUUUUGUCAGCGACGCUAUAGCUUUGGGUACUUUCAGGACCCGUCUUGAAACACGGACCAAGGAGUCUAGCAUGUGCGCAAGUCAUUGGGAAUAAAAUAUUUUUUCAUCGAAAUAUUAAUAAAUUUUAUGAAACCCAAAGGCGAAAUGAAAGUAAAAUAAUUUUUAUUUGUUAUUAUGAAUUUUUUAUUUGUAUUAUCAUAAUAUAAAAUUUGAGGGAGGAUAUAUUUUUAUUAUGUAUUGAAUAUCGCACUCCCAGGGCAUCUUAUACUAUUCUUAUAAUUAUUUUAUAAUUUUUAUUAUGAAUAAAGGUGCACCUAGAGCGUACACGCUGGGACCCGAAAGAUGGUGAACUAUGCCUGGUCAGGACGAAGUCAGGGGAAACCCUGAUGGAGGUCCGUAGCGAUUCUGACGUGCAAAUCGAUCGUCGGAACUGGGUAUAGGGGCGAAAGACUAAUCGAACCAUCUAGUAGCUGGUUCCCUCCGAAGUUUCCCUCAGGAUAGCUGGCGUUCAUAAUUCAACGAGUCUCAUCCGGUAAAGCGAAUGAUUAGAGGCCUUGGGGCCGAAACGACCUCAACCUAUUCUCAAACUUUAAAUGGGUGAGAUCUCUAGCUUGCUUAAAAUCAUAUAUUAUUAUUUUUUUUAAUUUUUUAUAUAUGUGAAGCUAAGAGAAUAAUAUUUGUAUUAAUAUUUAUGGAUCAGAAUGCCAAGUGGGCCACUUUU
rnacentral:rRNA from 1 species